rnacentral:rRNA from 1 species
CAGCCGCCGCGGUAAUACGUAGGGUGCAAGCGUUAAUCGGAAUUACUGGGCGUAAAGCGUGCGCAGGCGGUUCGCUAAGACAGAUGUGAAAUCCCCGGGCUUAACCUGGGAACUGCAUUUGUGACUGGCGGGCUAGAGUAUGGCAGAGGGGGGUAGAAUUCCACGUGUAGCAGUGAAAUGCGUAGAGAUGUGGAGGAAUACCGAUGGCGAAGGCAGCCCCCUGGGCCAAUACUGACGCUCAUGCACGAAAGCGUGGGGAGCAAACAGGAUUAGAUACCCGAGUAGUCCCUGUCUCUUAUAC